UACGUAGGGCGCGAGCGUUUGUCCGGAUUUAUUGGGCGUAAAGAGCUCGUAGGCGGUCUGUCGCGUCGAUCGUGAAAACUUGGGGCUUAACCCUGAGCUUGCGGUCGAUACGGGCAUGACUGGAGUUCGGCAGGGGAGACUGGAAUUCCUGGUGUAGCGGUGAAAUGCGCAGAUAUCAGGAGGAACACCAAUAGCGAAGGCAGCUCGCUGGGACGUUACUGACACUGAGGCGCGAAAGCGUGGGGAGCGAACAGG
rnacentral:rRNA from 1 species